AUGUCUCCAGGUGAAAGCCUAGGUUUGGAGUUGGACCGGCGUGAUAGCGGCGUCCUUGACGUCGUCCCUCUGUUGAGAGUAUCGUGUUUGGAGACACGGCUUGGUGGUCCUAAGUUGCUUUCCUCCGACGCUCGCUACUAUCCAAGAUUGUUCUGCAGGGGCGCUAUGCACACCAUGGCUAGCGUGUCCAAGACGAUGCCUUUCUCGGGACGGACCAAAUUCCGCCAUCCACCUCCUUUAGGAUGGUGCGUCAACGAGGAAAGUCAAGAUGAAGAUGUUCUUCUUGGAGGCGGCAGCAUUGGUUGA
rnacentral:rRNA from 1 species